UGGUCUGUGGCCAAGCAUGGUAAGGCGCUUGUCUGAUAUGCAAGUGAUCGAGGGUUCAAAUCCCUUCAGACCAA
rnacentral:tRNA from 1 species